GUAACGCGUGGGUAACCUGCCUCAUACAGGGGAGUAACAGUUAGAAAUGACUGCUAAUACCGCAUAAGCGCACAGUGCUGCAUGGCACAGUGNGAAAAACUCCGGUGGUAUGAGAUGGACCCGCGUCUGAUUAGCUAGUUGGUGGGGUAACGGCCUACCAAGGCGACGAUCAGUAGCCGGCCUGAGAGGGUGAACGGCCACAUUGGGACUGAGACACGGCCCAAACUCCUACGGGAGGCAGCAUG
rnacentral:rRNA from 1 species